rnacentral:rRNA from 1 species
UUAAGCGACUAAGCGUACACGGUGGAUGCCCUGGCAGUCAGAGGCGAUGAAGGACGUGCUAAUCUGCGAUAAGCGUCGGUAAGGUGAUAUGAACCGUUAUAACCGGCGAUUUCCGAAUGGGGAAACCCAGUGUGAUUCGUCACACUAUCAUUAACUGAAUCCAUAGGUUAAUGAGGCGAACCGGGGGAACUGAAACAUCUAAGUACCCCGAGGAAAAGAAAUCAACCGAGAUUCCCCCAGUAGCGGCGAGCGAACGGGGAGCAGCCCAGAGCCUGAAUCAGUGUGUGUGUUAGUGGAAGCGUCUGGAAAGGCGUGCGAUACAGGGUGACAGCCCCGUACACAAAAAUGCACAUACUGUGAGCUCGAUGAGUAGGGCGGGACACGUGGUAUCCUGUCUGAAUAUGGGGGGACCAUCCUCCAAGGCUAAAUACUCCUGACUGACCGAUAGUGAACCAGUACCGUGAGGGAAAGGCGAAAAGAACCCCGGCGAGGGGAGUGAAAAAGAACCUGAAACCGUGUACGUACAAGCAGUGGGAGCACGCUUAGGCGUGUGACUGCGUACCUUUUGUAUAAUGGGUCAGCGACUUAUAUUCUGUAGCAAGGUUAACCGAAUAGGGGAGCCGAAGGGAAACCGAGUCUUAACUGGGCGUUAAGUUGCAGGGUAUAGACCCGAAACCCGGUGAUCUAGCCAUGGGCAGGUUGAAGGUUGGGUAACACUAACUGGAGGACCGAACCGACUAAUGUUGAAAAAUUAGCGGAUGACUUGUGGCUGGGGGUGAAAGGCCAAUCAAACCGGGAGAUAGCUGGUUCUCCCCGAAAGCUAUUUAGGUAGCGCCUCGUGAAUUCAUCUCCGGGGGUAGAGCACUGUUUCGGCAAGGGGGUCAUCCCGACUUACCAACCCGAUGCAAACUGCGAAUACCGGAGAAUGUUAUCACGGGAGACACACGGCGGGUGCUAACGUCCGUCGUGAAGAGGGAAACAACCCAGACCGCCAGCUAAGGUCCCAAAGUCAUGGUUAAGUGGGAAACGAUGUGGGAAGGCCCAGACAGCCAGGAUGUUGGCUUAGAAGCAGCCAUCAUUUAAAGAAAGCGUAAUAGCUCACUGGUCGAGUCGGCCUGCGCGGAAGAUGUAACGGGGCUAAACCAUGCACCGAAGCUGCGGCAGCGACGCUUAUGCGUUGUUGGGUAGGGGAGCGUUCUGUAAGCCUGCGAAGGUGUGCUGUGAGGCAUGCUGGAGGUAUCAGAAGUGCGAAUGCUGACAUAAGUAACGAUAAAGCGGGUGAAAAGCCCGCUCGCCGGAAGACCAAGGGUUCCUGUCCAACGUUAAUCGGGGCAGGGUGAGUCGACCCCUAAGGCGAGGCCGAAAGGCGUAGUCGAUGGGAAACAGGUUAAUAUUCCUGUACUUGGUGUUACUGCGAAGGGGGGACGGAGAAGGCUAUGUUGGCCGGGCGACGGUUGUCCCGGUUUAAGCGUGUAGGCUGGUUUUCCAGGCAAAUCCGGAAAAUCAAGGCUGAGGCGUGAUGACGAGGCACUACGGUGCUGAAGCAACAAAUGCCCUGCUUCCAGGAAAAGCCUCUAAGCAUCAGGUAACAUCAAAUCGUACCCCAAACCGACACAGGUGGUCAGGUAGAGAAUACCAAGGCGCUUGAGAGAACUCGGGUGAAGGAACUAGGCAAAAUGGUGCCGUAACUUCGGGAGAAGGCACGCUGAUAUGUAGGUGAAGUCCCUCGCGGAUGGAGCUGAAAUCAGUCGAAGAUACCAGCUGGCUGCAACUGUUUAUUAAAAACACAGCACUGUGCAAACACGAAAGUGGACGUAUACGGUGUGACGCCUGCCCGGUGCCGGAAGGUUAAUUGAUGGGGUCAGCGCAAGCGAAGCUCUUGAUCGAAGCCCCGGUAAACGGCGGCCGUAACUAUAACGGUCCUAAGGUAGCGAAAUUCCUUGUCGGGUAAGUUCCGACCUGCACGAAUGGCGUAAUGAUGGCCAGGCUGUCUCCACCCGAGACUCAGUGAAAUUGAACUCGCUGUGAAGAUGCAGUGUACCCGCGGCAAGACGGAAAGACCCCGUGAACCUUUACUAUAGCUUGACACUGAACAUUGAGCCUUGAUGUGUAGGAUAGGUGGGAGGCUUGGAAGUGUGGACGCCAGUCUGCAUGGAGCCGACCUUGAAAUACCACCCUUUAAUGUUUGAUGUUCUAACGUUGACCCGUAAUCCGGGUUGCGGACAGUGUCUGGUGGGUAGUUUGACUGGGGCGGUCUCCUCCUAAAGAGUAACGGAGGAGCACGAAGGUUGGCUAAUCCUGGUCGGACAUCAGGAGGUUAGUGCAAUGGCAUAAGCCAGCUUGACUGCGAGCGUGACGGCGCGAGCAGGUGCGAAAGCAGGUCAUAGUGAUCCGGUGGUUCUGAAUGGAAGGGCCAUCGCUCAACGGAUAAAAGGUACUCCGGGGAUAACAGGCUGAUACCGCCCAAGAGUUCAUAUCGACGGCGGUGUUUGGCACCUCGAUGUCGGCUCAUCACAUCCUGGGGCUGAAGUAGGUCCCAAGGGUAUGGCUGUUCGCCAUUUAAAGUGGUACGCGAGCUGGGUUUAGAACGUCGUGAGACAGUUCGGUCCCUAUCUGCCGUGGGCGCUGGAGAACUGAGGGGGGCUGCUCCUAGUACGAGAGGACCGGAGUGGACGCAUCACUGGUGUUCGGGUUGUCAUGCCAAUGGCACUGCCCGGUAGCUAAAUGCGGAAGAGAUAAGUGCUGAAAGCAUCUAAGCACGAAACUUGCCCCGAGAUGAGUUCUCCCUGACUCCUUGAGAGUCCUGAAGGAACGUUGAAGACGACGACGUUGAUAGGCCGGAUGUGUAAGCGCAGCGAUGCGUUGAGCUAACCGGUACUAAUGAACCGUGAGGCUUAACCUU